rnacentral:rRNA from 1 species
UACGUAGGAUGCAAGCGUUGUCCGGAAUUAUUGGGCGUAAAGAGCGCGCAGGCGGUCUGCCAAGUCAGAUGUGAAAGAGGCCGGCUUAACCGGCAAGGGUCAUUUGAAACUGACAGACUAGAGUGCAGCAGAGGAUAGCGGAAUUCCCGGUGUAGUGGUGAAAUGCGUAGAUAUCAGGUGGAACACCCGUGGCGAAGGCGGCCCCCUGGGCCGAACCUGACGCUGAGGCGCGAAGGCUAGGGGAGCGAACGGG